UAUUUUCCAGGGGGCCCACAGAUUUUCUUCCACUAGAAAUACCCUCACAAGUCAUCUUCUUCAGAGGGACAAUCUUCAUAUUCACGCACCAGCUCACAGAAACAAUACUAAUACACACACCAGUGAGAGAGAGAUAUAGACGCACACCCGCAGAGAGAAUCAUAGGAGAAAGAGAGAAUCGGGAGAGAGUGAAUAAAAAAGGGGUUGAAUAGUGGUCGGUUGGCGUGAACAGUAAACGUUGAACGGAGUAGGGGGAAGAACAGUUUUUCCCGGUGAGCUUGUCACUGGAAUAGUGCCUCAUCGUAGAGUCCGUCCACUCCUCCCUAAAACUCAAUCAAAACCAGCUUCAAACCCCCUAAAAUUAUGACGCUAGUGCCCGACUACUCCGCCGCCACCGCUGUUACUAUUUCGGCAAUGAAUUUUUCGCCUGGAAUGAGCCAAAUCGAUCAAAAUCGUCCCAAAAAUAUUGAGAAAAUAGUGAGUUCACCUUGGGUUUUCGACAGUUAAGUUAGAGGUCUGUUUGUGAUUUGGUAUUGGAAAAAAAAGGAACAAAGGGGAUAUAUCGAAGUUGGAGUUGUUCGUUUGGUGAGGCUCGAUCUGAGAUUAUGGACGCGAUCCAAUCGAAAGGAGCAACUUUAAUCGAAAGCAACAUUUGAGGUUCAAUUCUAUCUUCUCUAUUUUUUUUGUAGUUUUUAACAUAAUUAUGAAUGAUUUAUGUGUUUGGCAUGUUUGAAUCUUCGUUAUGUGUGGGUUGAUGUUGGAUUUGGAUAUGAAAACUUGAUCGGUGGAUUGUAUAUUGAAUUGGUUUAAUCGUGUUAAAAAAGUUGAGGCGCGAAUUGAAAAUUUACUAAAGUGAAUUAGGAUUAAUUUUGAUUUAUUGUUAUUUUGAUUCAUUGACGCCAUCGAUCAUGAUAGUGCCAUGAUAGGUCGAGUUAGGUAGGCAAAAGUAGGCUGGGUAGGCAAAGUUGAGGACCUGUGAUUGUUGAAAUGAUGAAAUAUUUGUGGAGUGGUUUUGAUUUAUGCACUGAGAUCUAUUGUAUUCAUUUGGCCGGGGAAUGCCCCGAGGGAUUUGUAUUGAUUCACCGGGGAAUGCCCCGACGUAUCAUGUAUUCGGAGGACGUCCGUGAUGAAGGCCCGAAGCAUCGGGUAAGGCAUUGGACAUAGUUUAGGAUUAGUGUAGGUUAGCGUAGGUUUAUUUUUCAGUACCUUUUUUAUCAUUUCGGGUUGUAAUAAUUGGACUGGACAUUAUUAUUUUGAUUUUUGGAUUGUUGUUUGAUGUUUGUUUAUGUGCUUUGUGUGGUUUAUAUAUUUGUGGUGUCUAAUUAGCCGAUACUCUCCACCAAGAGACCAUGGUCGAACCACGGGACCGAGGGGUGCCUAACACCUUCCCCUCGGUCAACAAAAUUCCUUAGUUGAAACCUCUGUUCGCGGAUCAGUUUUACAGAGUCAAAAUCGUUUUGAAAAGGAUUUUCCAAAGGUGACUUGGCACACCGGAUUAUGCCAAGUGGUGACUCUGAGUUUUGAAUAUAAAUAAUUCUUUUCGAAAUAAAUUUUUAUUUUUUGUCACUUUGAUAAUAAAAAUCCUUUCAAACUUAAAACGAAAUCUUUUUUGGGUAAAAAAAGGGUGUGACAGCUCUGGCGACUCUGCUGGGGACUUUUUUUUAGAAUUCAAGCUUAUUUUGGAGUUGUAUCGACUUAGUUUGGCACUAUAGGUAUAUAGACAUUUUGUUUGUGUUGUUUUGUGUUAUUGUUUAUCAUUGUUGAGUGCCUACGUGCUCUUUGUUUACAAUUUUUAUUUUAUGUGUUACCGUUUUAUAUCUGGCAUCAUGUGUAUAACCCGAGCCAUUCUUUCUGCAACAAGUCUAUAGUAUACGCUAUGUACACGACCUCUAGUUGAGUCACCUUUAUCUUAGGGGGGAGUCUUCGACUGGUAUGGAGUGGGUGGAAAGCUAAAACAACCACUAUCGACCAUAUGCUCUCCCGAACAGCCUUGUUAGUGAAUCCCAGCGUAGGUCAGCUUUUAGGUCAUGCUUAUCUGCAUCAUAUUGAGACCUAGCGGGACUCACUUGGUCUUUUGUAGGAGACUCACCUCUAAGGCAUCCCUACGUGCUAAAUGUUACAUCUUUGAGGGUAACGUGGUCAUUUGACGGACUAAUUUAAGGGAAAACAUGUGCUAGAGGUAAAGUGCGUAGACAAGAAAUCAUUUGAAAAAAAAAGGAGUUUCGUAGCUUUUAGUGUUCUUUAUGACUUUUGUUUCCCACAAUUCAAAAAUUCAAAAAGAUUUCUUUAUUUUCUGCACUCAUUUUUUUAAAAACCAAAACAUCAAAAAGAUUUCUCACUUUGUCUCCUUUAGCAUGCAUUCAUAAUUAGAAAUUUUCAAAAAAAAAAAAAAUUAGCAGUUUUUAUAAAAGAAAUUGAAAAAUGGUGAAAGAUUUGUACAUUUCAUAUAGUGAAAAUGUCAAAAAGAUUUUCCUUCAUAAUUGUUGGUGUCAGUUUAGCUGAAGUAUCUAAUUAAAAACCCAAAAAUAUUUUAUUCAUUUGUCUUUGGUUGUGUCUCUUAAGUUAGGGUCAAUUUGUUAGACUAUCGUUAAUUGUACAAUCUGGACGAACUACGCACCCGUGAUUCUGCUCUCUCCGGAGUGAGAUACAUAGGUAACCUAUUUUGGGUUGGGGAUCUUAUUUCAAAAAUUCAAAAAAAGAUUUUCUUCACUCUUCAUUUAGAGUAGGUGUUUCAUGUACAUCUUUAAAAGAAAACAACAAAAAAAUAUUUCCCUUUAAUAGGUUCAGGUUUCAUUUUCAUAUGAAAUUCAAAAUCAAAAAUCAAAAAAUAUUUUUUUCGGUAAUCAUAGAUUUCAUUUUGUACAGAAAUCUGAAAAAUUCAAAAAGAUUUUCUUCACUCUUCACUUAGAGUAGGUGUUUCAUAUACAUCUCUAAAAAACUACAAAAAGAUUUUUCUUUAAUAGUUUGAAGUUUCAUUUUCCUAUGAAAUUCAAAAUCGAAAACCCUAAAAGAUUUUUAUUUGGUAAUCAUGGGUUUCAUUUUGUAUAGGGAUGUUAAGACUAAAAAAUGCAAAAAAAGAUUUUCGUCAAUUCUUUUGACAAUUUGUUAUUUUCUUUUCUUCUUAAAGUUUCAAAAAGAAAACAAAGAGUUCAAUUGGCCGUUUUGGCACGACUUAACGAACUACGCACACCUGAUUCUCCUCUCUCGGUGGUGAGAUACGUAGGUGCCCUUCUUGGGUUCGGUGAUCUUUUCAAGAAAAAAAAGGGAGAGAGAGGUUUUGAAAAAUGUUGAACUCUAACAUAUUUGUUGCCUCUUGUUCAGUUAGUUUAAGGUGGUUGGUUUGUGGCUUACUGGUUGGUCCUCCAUAUCACACCAAAUCCAAGGAGGGGUUAGUUGUGUCCAACAAGGAUAUAGAAAGUGGCAUCAUGGAUGAAACAAAGAUUCAGGAAAUUGAGAGUUUAAAGAAAGAGAAUUUGAGACUGAGACAACAAGUGAUGGAAAUAUACCGAGCUUGGACCAGUGGGCUGCCUCCACCUCUGUUUCCCACUUUUGGCCCUGCAAAUACCUUGAGUCUUCCACCAAAAUCGUAAAGUCAGUUUCUGUCUUCUUAUCCACAAUGGCAUGCUCCUGUCCCUCAACAUCGUCCUCGACCCCCACGAAUUUACCAAGGAACCUCUAAAUCCAAGUUUCAUCUAAGGCUAGAGUUAGUGUUGUAAAACAUUUCAUAAGUGAUCUUUAUCGUGCAAUUUUGUAUUGCAUGCUAUGUACUAGCAUUUUCAAAAAUUGAUAUGACGAAGGCAUUUCAUUCUGCUUUCCAAAUAUUGUGUCAUCCUUUGUUUACCCCAUUUGGGCCUUAGUGUUAUUUUCUUUUAUACCCCUCUUUUGGAAUCAAGAUAAAGUCAACAAAAUCCAAAAAAAGUGUCGAAAAAGAAAAAAAAGAUGAGUGUCAAGAAAAAUAAAGUCAGAAAAGUCCCAAAGAUAAAAAGAGUCGACAAAAGAAAAAAAAUAGAAUCAAGUGAAAGAACAAGUUGCCAGAACUACGCAUGACUUGAUUCUCCUCUCUCGAGGGUGAGAUACGUAGGCUGCCUUACUCAGGGCUCGGUCCAACCAAAUAAAUAAUUUAGAAUUGCCCAGUCAAAAAUUGGGGCUUGAGUUAAUCCUCAUUGUUUGAGUCGAUUCCAAAAGUUGUAAGUCCUACCCCACUUUUAGUAUUGUUUGGGCCCCAUGCCAUCCUUUAUUUUCAACCCUAUCCAAAAGCCAAGUUACAAUCAAAGAAAGACCUUCAGAUCAAUCUUUGAGAAUGUUAAGGCUAAGUAUGCAAUGGAUGUGAUGACACAUUUUGAGAACUACUCGUCUUCCUCAGCAUAAAAAAUCAGGAGAGAAAUAAAAAUGAGAGAGUUUUAUUGGUGAAAACCCUCACGGGCACCAUAAGGAGAUGGUAAAUUAAGAAAGAUAAAAAUGAGAGAGUUUUAUUAGUGAAAACCCUCACAGACACCAUAAGGCGAUGGUGAGUUGAGAGAAAAAUGAGAGAGGCUUGUUUGAGAAAACCCUUCAAGGUGCCACUAGCCGAAUGAGGUCUCCGAAUGCAAUGGGUCUAAGUAAGAAACUCAGUUUCAGGGCCAUUAACUCAACAACAAUUGGUAGAAAGUUUGGAUGAAAAGAUCAGGCUGCUUAAUCCAAAAUGCACAGUAUAAUUAUUAGAGUUGACUGUCAUUUUUAGAUUAAUUUAUUGUUUCUUUGUUACAAAUGAGGAUAUUCAUUUUCUUUCCUUUCUUUUCUUUAUUUUUAUUUUAUCUUUCUUGAGUCAGUUAUCCAAAUAAAAAAAUUGUCUUUCUUUUUUUUCUUUUCUUGUCUUUGAGUCAAGUCCAUGUCAAAACAAGUGAGAAAAGAUUUUAAAACUGGCUAUCAGCUUCUUCAAUUGCACAAAGCAAGACAAAAGGGACAGCACAUGCAAAAGACAUGAUUGUGAGCCGAAAUAAGGCAUACAAAAAUUGUGUCAACAGACAAGUUUGGGAACUCAUGAAAAUACCAAGGUUCAAAGGGUUUAUAUGAUGAGCAUGACGAAGCAGAGAUAUCAUUUUAUUUCAGAGUCACUUUUAAUAAACUGAAUUUAGGUCAAUGAUGCAGCAAGUCAAUGAUAAAUGCUAAUGGUUGGAAGCAAGGUUAAAUGUGAUGGGGCAAGAGCGAUCGUCGCGAAAGCUAAAGCCACAAACCAGCCACCGUGUUUUAAACUCACAAGUUUUCUUUGAUGAAAUAGGAAACAUAUUACCUUCAAAGCAAGGACGUCAGAGCAUAAAUAUCAAGGCUUUCAAUGCCUCACGUUUAAAUAUGCACGAAGAAAUGUUGCUGCACAGGUUUGGUAAUCAAAUCAUUGUAAAAUUCAUCAUCUUAUAUCCCUCGGAGACACAUUUUCUUGUCCAGGGAUUUCAUUUUUCAUUUGCUGGGUGAUACACUUCUUAAAUUGAUCCUUCACUCCUAAAAGACGUACCUUUUAGUCGAGUCAUCCCCUUUGACCCCAAAAGACGUACCUUUUAGUAGAGUCAUUUCCUUUGAUUCCUAUAAGACAUACCUUUUACUCGAAUCAUUCCCGCUUGACUCCUAGAAGACGUACCUUUUAGUCGAGUCAUUCCCCUUAACCCCUAGAAGACGUACCUUUUAGUCGAUUCAUUCCUUUGAUUCCUAUAAGACGUACCUUUUAGUCGAGUCAUUCCUCUUGACCCCUAGAAGAAGUACCUUUUAGUAGAGUCAUUUCCUAUGAUUCCUAUAAGACGUACCUUUUAGUCGAGUCAUUCCUCUUGAGGCCUUGACCCCUAGAAGACGUACCUUUUAGUUGAGUCAUAUCCCUUGAUUCCUAUAAGAUGUACCUUUUAGUCGAGUCAUUCCCCUUGAGUCCUUGACCCCUAGAAGACGUACCUUUUAGUUGGGUCAUAUCCCUUGAUUCCUAUAAGACGUACCUUUUAGUCGAGUCAUUUCCUUUGAUUCCUAUAAGACGUACCUUUUACUUGAGUCAUCACCCCUUGAUUCCUAUAAGACGUACCUUCUAGUCGAGUCAUUCCCUUGAUUCCUAUAAGACGUACCUUUUAGUCGAGUCAAUUUCUUUGAUUCCUAUAAGACGUACCUUAUAGUCGAGUCAUUCUCCUUGAUUCCUAUAAUGAUGUGACUUUCACAAAAGUCCUUUGAUAAUAAACUGGGGCAAAAUUUAAUUCUUAUUUUUGGAACUUUACUUUUCUGGCAAACAAAAUUUCUCUUUAUGAAAAACUUUGUUUGGGAUAAUUUUCUUGUUAGUUUUGAUAUGAUUUCAGAAGCCCGCCUGAAGAACAGGGUGAUGAGAUAGAAAGUCAGGAGCCCACCUGAAGAACAGGGAUGAUGAAAUGGCAAGUCAGGAACCCGCCUGAAGAAUAGGGUGAUUAAAUAGUAAGUCAGGAGCCCUCCUGAAGAAUAGGGCGGAUAAAUGGAAAAUCUAGAACAAGGUGAAAAAAAUCUGAAAAAACAAGCAAAAAGGUGAAGCAAUUGAAAGUCAAGCAACAAGUUGAAUAAAUUGCAAAUCAGGAGCCCACCUGAAGAAUAGUGUGAUGAAACUUAAGUCAAGAGUCCAAAAGAAGAUGCAUAGAUAGAAUUUCUGUAAUUUUAUUUAUGUUUUUAACUCGUAAUUUUCAUUUUGAUGUAAUGAUAGAGCUGUGGACCGAAACCUUGAUGGAACCUCACUCGACUCUCCAACUCGGUAUAGUCCUUCUCUUUCAAAUAUUUUGAAAUACUGGUCCCUUGAUUCCUCCAUAACUUCGGUAGAUAGGUUGUCCUAAGUCAGGA
rnacentral:lncRNA from 1 species